GACGAACGCUGGCGGCGUGCCUAAUACAUGCAAGUUGAGCGCUGAAGGUUGGUACUUGUACCGACUGGAUGAGCAGCGAACGGGUGAGUAACGCGUGGGGAAUCUGCCUUUGAGCGGGGGACAACAUUUGGAAACGAAUGCUAAUACCGCAUAAAAACUUUAAACACAAGUUUUAAGUUUGAAAGAUGCAAUUGCAUCACUCAAAGAUGAUCCCGCGUUGUAUUAGCUAGUUGGUGAGGUAAAGGCUCACCAAGGCGAUGAUACAUAGCCGACCUGAGAGGGUGAUCGGCCACAUUGGGACUGAGACACCGCCCAAACUCCUCCGGGAGGCAGCAGUAGGGAAUCUUCGGAAAUGGACCAAAGUCUGACCUAGCAACGCCGCGUGAGUGACGAAGGUUUUCGGAUCGUAAAACUCUGUUGGUAGAGAAGAACGUUGGUGAGAGUGGAAAGCUCAUCAAGUGACGGUAACUACCCAGAAAGGGACGGCUAACUACGUGCCAGCCGCCGCCGUAA
rnacentral:rRNA from 1 species